rnacentral:lncRNA from 1 species
AUGCCCCUCUCUCUCUCCACAUCCCCCUCUCUCUCUCCACAUCCCCCUCUCUCUCUCCACAUCCCCCUCUCUCUCUCUUCAUGCCCCUCUCUCUCUCCACACCCCCUCUCUCUCUCCACACCCCUCUCUCUCUCCACAUCCCCCUCUCUCCUCCUCCACAUCCCCUCUCUCUCUCCACAUCCCCCUCUCUCUCUCCACAUCCCCCUCUCUCUCUCCACAUCCCCCUCUCUCUCUCCUCAUCCCCUCACUCUCUCCUUAUCUUUCUCUCUCCUCACCCCACCCUCUCUCUCCUCAAUCGCUCUCCUCCUCAUUCUUUCUCAAAUUAUAUCCCCCUAUCUCUCCUCUCCUCAUCCCCCUCUCUCUCUCUCCUCAUCCCCCUCUCCUCUCCUCAUCCCUCUCUCUCUCUCUCCUCACCUCUCUCUCCUCAUCUCUCUCUCUCCUCUCUCUCCUCGUCUCCUCCUCAUCUCUCCAUCUCUCUCUCUCAUCUCUCGCUCAUCCUCAUCUCUCGCUCUCUCUCCUCUCCCUCAUCUCUCUCUCCUCAUCUCUCUCUCUCCUCAUCUCUCUCUCUCCUCUCAAUCUCCUCUCUCCUCAUCCCCCCCUCUCUCUCUCCUCAUCCCCCUCUCCUCUCUCUCCACAUCCCCCUCUCUCUCUUCCACAUCCCCCCCCCCUCUCUCUCCUCAUCCCUCCUCUCUCUUCCCUAUCUCUCGCUCUCUCCCUCCUCAUCCUCUCAUCUCCUGCAUCCUCAUCCCCUCUCCUCAUCUCAUCCCUCGCUCUCCCUCUCUCAUCUCUCUCUCUCUCCUCAUCCCUCUCUCUCUCUCUCUCCUCAUCCCUCUCUCUCUCUCUCUCCUCAUCCCUCUCUCUCUCCUCCUCAUCCCUCUCUCUCUCUUCCUCAUCCCACUCUCUCUCUCUCNCCCCCCCUCUCUCUCCUCAUCCCCUCUCUCUCUCCACACCCCCUCUCCUCUCUCCACAGUCAUCCCCUCCUCUACUUCUCUCCACAACCAUCUCUCACCCUCUCUCUCUCCGCCAAUCCCCUCCUCUCUCCUCCACAUCCCCUCUCGGUGUCUCUCCACAAGUCCCCUCGCUCUCCUCUCGCUCCUCACCCCCGUCUCUCUCUCCUCAUCCCUCUCUCUCUCUCCUUAUCUCUCUCCUCCUCACCCCCAUCUCUCUCCUCAAUCUCGUCUAUCUCUCUCAUCUCUCUCACUCCUCACUACUCUCUCCGUCAUCCCCCCCUCUCUCUCCUCAUCCCACCCCCCCUCAUCUCUCCAUCCCCCACCUCUCUCUCUCCUCCCCCCCCCAUCUCUCUCUCCUCAUCCCCCCCUCUCUCUCCUCAUCCCCCCCCUCUCUCUCCUCAUCCCCUCUCUCUCCACACCCCCAUCUCUCUCUCCACAUCCCCCUCUCUCUCUCUCCACACCCCUCUCUCUCUCUCCACAUCCCCCUCUCUCUCUCCACAUCCCCCUCUCUCUCUCCACAUCCCCCUCUCUCUCUCCUCAUCCCCCUCUCUCUCUACACCCCCUCUCUCUCUACACCUCCUCUCUCUCUCCUCAUCCCCUCAACAGCAACUACAUCAACAAUAUUAAUGAGAAUAAUAAUACAUUAAAGCAAUAG